UAGCACACAGCUGCUGUGGUUUCAGAUGUUAACGAUCACAGAAAUAAGAUCAGCCAGAAGCACAGCGAGGGAUGUCACAACAUCUCUUGGGGAUCCGCCGACCAAAAGACAUGCGGAACAACAUGUCAAGAGGACUGCCAUAUGAAAUGUCACCGCCUGCCAAGAAAUAAUCCCUUUCAGACUUCUUAUAUUCAUGUUUGUAUUGACCUGUCAUUGUUGGGUGGUUGUGUGUAUAUAUUUCCUGUUCCUGUUAAAGAAACUAUCCAUCCAUUUUUUUGAAUGACAGCAGAAAACAAUGAAACGUCUUCCUCAGAGCUGCUAAGCCAAAUAAAACAAGACACGUGUGUUCGUGUGCACAUGCUUAUCAAUCUUGAACCCUAAAGGACUGCUUUGCCUCCACUUGGCCCGUGCUAUAAUUGGUAUUCAGUUUAGCCUCAGGCUAGUGCGUGCAUGUGCAAGUAUAUUAAGUGCAAAUUGUUGUGUUUCUAUGUGAAAAUCUGUGUGCAUUCAUAUAUCUUUUAUGCAUGUUAUGGUAUUAAUAUCUAGCACGUCAUAAGUGAUUAAGAUAUAUUAACGUGUGUGUUCGUGUGCACACACUUACCAAUCUUGAAUCCACUUGGCCUAUGCAAUGAUUGGUAUUCAGUUUAGCCUCAGGCUAGUGUGUGCAUGUGCAAGUAUAUUAAGUGCAAAUUGUUGUGUUUCUAUGUACAAAUCUGUGUGCAUUCAUAUGUCUUUUAUGCAUGUUAUGGUAUUAAUAUCUAUAAGGUCACAAGUGAUGAAGAUAUAUUAACGUGUGCUGUAUGUCGAUGCAGUUAUUAAUGUUUUGUUUGUGCGUUCUCUGGGGUUUAAUAACUACAUGUGUUUAUGAGUUGAGAGGGUUUGCAUGAUACUGAACUGUGCAGAAGCCACAAUUUCCUAUGUAGGAUUACUAGUUUUGUGAACAGAUACUGUAGAGACUUUACAAACAGCGCUGAGCUGCUGGGAUCAAAGCCCUCGCUGCAGGCAGCCCCCUUGAUGUCCACGGGACAGGUACAUGAGAGAACACAUGUUGCUUAUCUUGACAGUUCCAUACUAAUUUUAAACAACUUCAACUGCGGAUUCAUCUUUUUAUUCUCUUCACAAGAGAAAACUGGUUAACUGCACAGCUCCACCUGCAGCUUCUAGGGAUUUGAACUGAAAUAUCUCAACUACUAUUGAAUGAAUCGCCAUAAAAUUUGGUACUGAACUGUAAUAAAUUCGGUAAUCCUGUAAUUUAAAUAAUCAUAAUGAAGUCACAAGUUUAAUUUUUCCAAUACUUUGGUUUAAUACUUGUUAAACUAAUGAUAUUCCCAUACUCCCUUUUACUCACAAUGCUGAAGCUAAAUAUCUGCAAAUUCAAUAUGACUUUAAACGUCUACCACUGCUUUUACAUUUAAAAAAAAAAACAUACAUGGUAGCUUUUUACAUAAUCAAUAGCUUAAUGCAACAAAUGAAUGGAGCAGAACUGAAAACACUUGGCCUCCUACUGUUACAAUGCCACAGGCAAAUAGUGAUAAAUGAGGCAAUAUAACGCACGUGGGAUUAUUACAGAAACUGUGUACACAAGCAUUGGAUGUCUUACAUAUUAAUUACUGUAAAUAUAGUGAAAAUGUAAUUAUUCUUGACUAGUCAACUACAGCCCACGAUGCCCACAAGUGGUUUCAGUGGUGGACUACAUAAUGAAACUCCAGCGUGCGCAUAUAUAUUUAUUUCUAUUUAUAAAUGUGUCUCAUU